AUUGAACGCUGGCGGCAGGCCUAACACAUGCAAGUCGAACGGUAACAGGAAGCAGCUUGCUGCUUUGCUGACGAGUGGCGGACGGGUGAGUAAUGUCUGGGAAACUGCCUGAUGGAGGGGGAUAACUACUGGAAACGGUAGCUAAUACCGCAUAACGUCGCAAGACCAAAGAGGGGGACCUUCGGGCCUCUUGCCAUCGGAUGUGCCCAGAUGGGAUUAGCUUGUUGGUGGGGUAACGGCUCACCAAGGCGACGAUCCCUAGCUGGUGUGAGAGGAUGACCAGCCACACUGGAACUGGAACAGGGUCCAGACUCCUACGGGAGGCAGCAGUGGGGAAUAUUGGACAAUGGGCGCAAGCCUGAUGCAGCCAUGCCGCGUGUAUGAAGACGGCGUUCGGGUUGUAAAGUACUUUCAGCGGGGAGGAAGGGAGUAAAGUUAAUACCUUGACUGAUUGACGUUACCCGCAGAAGAAGCACCGGCUAACUACGUG
rnacentral:rRNA from 1 species